UACGUACUGUGCGAACGUUAUUCGGAAUCACUGGGCUUAAAGGGUGCGUAGGCGGCCAAUUAAGUAGGGUGUGAAAUGCCAGAGCUCAACUUUGGCAUUGCGCUCUAGACUGGCUGGCUUGAGUGAGAUAGGGGUGUGCGGAACUUCCAGUGGAGCGGUGAAAUGUGUUGAUAUUGGAAGGAACGCCGGUGGCGAAAGCGGCACACUGGGUCUUAACUGACGCUGAGGCGCGAAAGCUAGGGGAGCAAAC
rnacentral:rRNA from 1 species